ensembl:lncRNA
GUAUGCUUUUUCAUCCACUAGCUGUUGAAUGCCAAAGGUUGUUAACCAUCACAAAUGUUUGAAAUAUUUCAGAGAUUGUCGAUGACAACGCUAUACUGAAAGCAGAUUUCAUUCAGGAGCUUCUUCCAUCUGCGGAGCGAACGGCUCUCCUUUAUCACCUGACUUUCCUGAGUCUGGGAGGAUUCCCAAAGCUUGAGCGUGUGAUCAGAGAUCAAGCUAUUGAAACACAACUGCUGUUCGGAUCCUCUGAAGCCCUUCUGCUGAGGUGUGUCGGCACGAGUUCCAACCUGGUCAACACCCUGUUUCCAAUAUUGAAAAAAGCUGUAGAGAAGAACAAACCCCUUUUGGCGAUGAGGUACCUGAUGAAAGCCAAAGAGUGGAUCACUGACAUCAUAACACAAGUGGAUAACAUAGUGGAGAGGUGAAAAUAUUAGUAAUAUCUUAUAGGAACAAAUAUGUGCCAACUUAAUUCAAAGGGGAAUCUCAUGGGUGAUUUUUUUUAAUUGCAGGUAAAUUUGAUGUCCAAAGUCACCUUUUUGUUGUUGUUGUUGUUGUCUUGUUUGUACAGAUUAUUUUUAAGUAUUCAAAUAAUUUGC